GACGAACGCUGGCGGCGUGCUUAACACAUGCAAGUCGAGCGGUAAGGCCCUUUCGGGGGUACACGAGCGGCGAACGGGUGAGUAACACGUGGGUGACCUGCCCUUAGCUCUGGGAUAAGCCUGGGAAACUGGGUCUAAUACCGGAUAUGACUCCAUGACGCAUGUUGUGGGGUGGAAAGCCUUGUGCGGCUAGGGAUGGGCCCGCGGCCUAUCAGCUUGUUGGUGGGGUGAUGGCCUACCAAGGCGACGACGGGUAGCCGGCCUGAGAGGGCGACCGGCCACACUGGGACUGAGACACGGCCCAGACUCCUACGGGAGGCAGCAGUGGGGAAUCUUGCACAAUGGGCGAAAGCCUGACGCAGCGACGCCGCGUGGGGAUGACGGCCUCGGUUGUAA
rnacentral:rRNA from 1 species